UGAGUGUAUAACAGAGCUCCGCAGCAAUAAUACUCCCAGUAAUGUGUCUGAGUGUAUAACAGAGCUCCACAGUAAUAAUACUCCCAGUAAUGUGUCUGAGUGUAUAACAGAGCUACACAGUAAUAAUACUCCCAGUAAUGUAUCUUUAAACUACAAUAAAUGUGUUUAGAAACCAGUCUGUGUGAAUAAGAUGCAUUGUUCUUGUUAUAAAUUAAAUUAAAUUCUUAUUAGUAAUUCACAGCUGAAACCCCCAUAAUAUGUGUCCCUAAUGGUAUAUAUAUUAAUCUGUUUAUUUAGAAUGGACUUCCCAGUUGUACAGCGCUGCGGAAUAUGUAGGC